rnacentral:rRNA from 1 species
CCCGCUGAACUUAAGCAUAUCAAUAAGCGGAGGAAAAGAAACUAACAAGGAUUCCCCUAGUAACUGCGAGUGAAGAGGGAAAAGCUCAAAUUUAAAAUCUGGCAGUCUUUGAUUGUCCGAGUUGUAAUUUAGAGAAGUGUUACCCGUGUUGGCCCGUGUACAAGUUUCCUGGAAUGGAACGUCAUAGAGGGUGAGAAUCCCGUCUUUGACACGGACUACCAAUGCAUUGUGGUAUGCUCUCGAAGAGUCGAGUUGUUUGGGAAUGCAGCUCUAAAUGGGUGGUAAAUUCCAUCUAAAGCUAAAUAUUGGGGAGAGACCGAUAGCGAACAAGUACCGUGAGGGAAAGAUGAAAAGAACUUUGGAAAGAGAGUUAAACAGUACGUGAAAUUGCUGAAAGGGAAACGCUUGAAGUCAGUCGCGUUAGUCGGGGAUCAGCCUUCCUUUUGGUUGGUGUACUUCCUGAUUGACGGGUCAGCAUCAGUUUUGACCGGUGGAUAAGAGCUUGAGGAAUGUGGCAGCUUCGGCUGUGUUAUAGCCCCUAGUCGCAUACAGUGGUUGGGAUUGAGGAACUCAGCACGCCGCAAGGCCGGGUUUCGACCACGUUCGUGCUUAGGAUGCUGGCAUAAUGGCUUUAAGCGACCCGUCUUGAAACACGG